UAGGGAAUCUUCCGCAAUGGGCGAAAGCUUGACGGAGCAACGCCGCGUGAGUGAUGAAGGUCUUCGGAUCGUAAAACUCUGUUAUUAGGGAAGAACAAAUGUGUAAGUAAUUAUGCACGUCUUGACGGUACCUAAUCAGAAAGCCACGGCUAACUACGUGCCAGCAGCCGCGGUAAUACGUAGGUGGCAAGCGUUAUCCGGAAUUAUUGGGCGUAAAGCGCGCGUAGGCGGUUUUUUAAGUCUGAUGUGAAAGCCCACGGCUCAACCGUGGAGGGUCAUUGGAAACUGGAAAACUUGAGUGCAGAAGAGGAAAGUGGAAUUCCAUGUGUAGCGGUGAAAUGCGCAGAGAUAUGGAGGAACACCAGUGGCGAAGGCGACUUUCUGGUCUGUAACUGACGCUGAUGUGCGAAAGCGUGGGGAUCAAACAGG
rnacentral:rRNA from 1 species